UCCGGGUACKGUGGCUUGUGACAGUAACCAAGUCCCUGCGAGGUUGAGGUUGGUGGAUYGAGUGAGCUGAGGAGCUCUGGGCUCUUGUGCGUUACAGUAAACAGGUGUACUCACUUAGUUUGGUAUCGAUAUGAUUCUACUGGGGGAGCCCGGGACCACUAGGUCGACUAAGGAGAGGUGCGCUGGCCCAGGUCAGAAACGAAGCAGGCCAAAGCCCUGGUACCUCCAGUAGUGGGAUAGCGCCUGUGAAUAGAGGCUGCAGUGCAGCCUUGGAAAAAAUCUAAACAUAAUAUUUCU
ensembl:misc_RNA Metazoa_SRP Metazoan signal recognition particle RNA